CUACGGGCGCUCCAGUGAGGAAUUUUGCGCAAUGGGGGCAACCCUGACGCAGCAACGCCGCGUGAGUGAAGAAGGCCCUUGGGUCGUAAAGCUCUGUCAAUGGGGAAGAAGUUAUGUGGUGUUAAUAGCAUCAUGUAUUGACGGUACCCAUGAAGGAAGCAUCGGCUAACUCCGUGCCAGCAGCCGCGGUAAUACGGGGGAUGCAAGCGUUAUUCGGAAUUAUUGGGCGUAAAGGGGCACGCAGGCGGUCCUGUCAGUCAGAUGUGAAAGCCCUGGGCUCAACCCGGGAAGGGCAUUUGAAACAGCAGGACUUGAGUACGGUAGAGGAAAGGGGAAUUCCUGGUGUAGAGGUGAAAUUCGUAGAUAUCAGGAGGAACACCGGUGGCGAAGGCGCCUUUCUGGGCCUGUACUGACGCUGAGGUGCGAAGGCGUGGGUAGCGAACGGGAUUAGAUACCCGAGUAGUC
rnacentral:rRNA from 1 species